rnacentral:rRNA from 1 species
CGUACACUCCUGCGGGAGGCAGCAGUGGGGAAUAUUGCACAAUGGGCGCAAGCCUGAUGCAGCCAUGCCGCGUGUAUGAAGAAGGCCUUCGGGUUGUAAAGUACUUUCAGCGGGGAGGAAGGCAAUACGGUUAAUAACCGUGUUGAUUGACGUUACCCGCAGAAGAAGCACCGGCUAACUCCGUGCCAGCAGCCGCGGUAAUACGGAGGGUGCAAGCGUUAAUCGGAAUUACUGGGCGUAAAGCGCACGCAGGCGGUCUGUCAAGUCGGAUGUGAAAUCCCCGGGCUCAACCUGGGAACUGCAUUCGAAACUGGCAGGCUUGAGUCUUGUAGAGGGGGGUAGAAUUCCAGGUGUAGCGGUGAAAUGCGUAGAGAUCUGGAGGAAUACCGGUGGCGAAGGCGGCCCCCUGGACAAAGACUGACGCUCAGGUGCGAAAGCGUGGGGAGCAAACAGGAUUAGAAACCCCAGUAGUCCCAUGA